rnacentral:rRNA from 1 species
GACGAACGCUGGCGGCGUGCUUAAUACAUGCAAGUCGAGCGAGGCCCAUCCAGUGGCAACACUGGGGAAGGCCGAGCGGCGAACGGGUGAGUAACACGUGAGCAACCUGCCCCGAAGUCUGGAAUAACAUCGGGAAACCGGUGCUAAUACCGGAUUGCCCCACCUGACCGCAUGAUCGGGUGAGGAAAGAUUUAUCGCUUCGGGGAGGGGCUCGCGGCCUAUCAGCAGUUGGCGGGGUAACGGCCCACCAAGGCGUCGACGGGUAGCUGGUCUGAGAGGACGACCAGCCACACUGGGACUGAGACACGGCCCAGACUCCUACGGGAGGCAGCAGUAGGGAAUCUUGCGCAAUGGGCGAAAGCCUGACGCAGCAACGCCGCGU